CCUACGGGUGGCAGCAGUGGGGAAUAUUGGACAAUGGGCGAAAGCCUGAUCCAGCCAUGCCGCGUGUGUGAAGAAGGCCUUCGGGUUGUAAAGCACUUUCAGUGGGGAAGAAAGCCUUGGGGCUAAUACCCUCGAGGAAGGACAUCACCCACAGAAGAAGCACCGGCUAACUCCGUGCCAGCAGCCGCGGUAAUACGGAGGGUGCGAGCGUUAAUCGGAAUUACUGGGCGUAAAGCGCGCGUAGGCGGUCUGAUAAGCCGGUUGUGAAAGCCCCGGGCUCAACCUGGGAACGGCAUCCGGAACUGUCAGGCUAGAGUGCAGGAGAGGAAGGUAGAAUUCCCGGAGUAGCGGUGAAAUGCGUAGAGAUCGGGAGGAAUACCAGUGGCGAAGGCGGCCUUCUGGACUGACACUGACGCUGAGGUGCGAAAGCGUGGGUAGCAAACAGGAUUAGAUACCCUAGUAGUC
rnacentral:rRNA from 1 species